AGGAUCAUUAACGAAUAUAAUUCGAGGGGUUGUCGCUGGCCUCGCUCGCGCGAGGCAUGUGCACGCUUCGCGUUUUUCUGAUAACCAACCUGUGAACCUAAUGUAGGAUGCCUCUCCUCCGGGAGGGGGGACCUACGUCUUCUCAACAUCUUCGUGUAGAAAGUCUUUGAAUGUUUACUAUCAUCGAGUCGCGACUUCUAGGAGACGCGAUUCUUUGAGAUAAAAGUUAUUACAACUUUCAGCAACGGAUCUCUUGGCUCUCGCAUCGAUGAAGAACGCAGCGAAAAGCGAUAUGUAAUGUGAAUUGCAGAUCUACAGUGAAUCAUCGAAUCUUUGAACGCACCUUGCGCUCCUCGGUGUUCCGAGGAGCAUGCCUGUUUGAGUGUCAGUAAAUUCUCAACCCCUCUCGAUCUUCUUCGAAGAGGGCGCUUGGAUAGUGGAGGUUGCCGGAGACUCGGAUUCGUUCCGAGACUCGGGCUCUUCUGAAAUGCAUCGGCUUGCGGUCGACUUUCGACUAUGCGCGACAAGGCUUUCGGCGUGAUAAUGAUCGCCGUUCGCCGAAGCGCAUGACAGAAGGUUCCGCGCCUCUAACGCGUCGACCGCUUACUAUCUCUCCGGAGAGAACGGCGUCUUCCUAAUAGACUUUUGACCUCNAAUCAGGUAGGACUA
rnacentral:rRNA from 1 species